UACGUAGGUGGCAAGCGUUGUCCGGAAUCACUGGGCGUAAAGCGCACGUAGGCGGAUGUGUCAGUCAGGGGUGAAAUCCCGGAGCUCAACUUCGGAACUGCCUUUGAUACAGCACAUCUGGAGUCCGGAAGAGGUGGGUGGAAUUCCUAGUGUAGAGGUGAAAUUCGUAGAUAUUAGGAAGAACACCAGUGGCGAAGGCGGCUCACUGGCCCGGUACUGACGCUGAGGCGCGAAAGCGUGGGGAGCAAACAGG
rnacentral:rRNA from 1 species